AACGAACGCUGGCGGCAUGCCUAACACAUGCCAGUCGAACGAGACCUUCGGGUCUAGUGGCGCACGGGUGCGUAACGCGUGGGAACCUGCCCUUAGGUUCGGAAUAACUCCCCGAAAGGGGUGCUAAUACCGGAUAAUGUCUUCGGACCAAAGAUUUAUCGCCUUUGGAUGGGCCCGCGUUGGAUUAGCUAGUUGGUAGGGUAAAAGCCUACCAAGGCGACGAUCCAUAGCUGGUCUGAGAGGAUGAUCAGCCACACUGGGACUGAGACACGGCCCAGACUCCUACGGGAGGCAGCAGUGGGGAAUAUUGGACAAUGGGCGAAAGCCUGAUCCAGCAAUGCCGCGUGAGUGAUGAAGGCCUUAGGGUUGUAAAGCUCUUUUACCCGGGAUGAUAAUGACAGUACCGGGAGAAUAAGCUCCGGCUAACUCCG
rnacentral:rRNA from 1 species